ACACCCUAAACAUUUUCAACCGUCACACUUAAACACCCACCCCCCUCUUCAUAUUCUCCAAACCAUCCCCCAAACACCCCCCUUCUCUUCUUCUUCUACACCUUAACCCUACACCACCGCAGUGACCACACACGACCUCCCUCCAACCAACGACAAACCUCCAUAGCCACCCUCCUCCAGCCCACAUCCACCAUUGACGCACCUCACAUCGUCAAACAACCAACCCCACAGCCCCCCACCACGUCGUCAAAUGACCACCGCAACCCCGUCUCCAGGCCACGACCCCACUGUCCCACACCGGACAGACCACCAAACGACGACCUCCAUGGCUGCUCAUGGACGUCCAGAACUGUCAUCCAAGCCCAGUCGAGUUGAUUCCGGCGAGUGUCGAUGUCUGGUCGUAGUUCAUUCGCGGUUUCCGUUGAAGUUUUGGUUCUACUGUUCGGGGUUCUCAUUUGGUCGAUGGUUCAAGAAUUACUACAACUGUAAAGGUCUAUUUCUAUUGUUAAGUUCUAAUCUUUACACUUUAUUUGCCUUGAGUAUGUCUUAUUUGACGUAAACUAUAGUAAAUAUAUUUAAGUAUUCUUAAUAGUAUAAUAUAGUAUUGUAGUGAUUUGUUUCAUUCAUUUAACUUUGUACUGGAAGAGUUAUUUCUCUGUGGUUUGAUGAAAUAACAGAUUGUUGUGUUAUUUGUUUGUUUUACUUAUUUCGUGACCAUUGAUUUUGUAUUAGAUUGUUUAAGUUGGCAAGUUUUAGUGUCAGAAUCUGUAAUGAGCUUGUAGAAAGUUGUGGCUAUUCCCAUAAUUGUUUGUUAUUGCUAUUAGUUCAAAUUGUUGCAUUUUUGUGUAUUGUUUGGUUCCCUUCUAUUUGUUGUUCAUCAUAUGAGUUCAGUUUGCAUUUCGAUUCAGUUAAUUGUGAUUCAUAUUGUUUCAGUU
rnacentral:lncRNA from 1 species